CCUACGGGAGGCUGCAGUGGGGAAUAUUGGACAAUGGGCGCAAGCCUGAUCCAGCCAUGCCGCGUGUGUGAAGAAGGCCUUCGGGUUGUAAAGCACUUUCAGUGGGGAAGAAAGCCUUGGGGCUAAUACCCUCGAGGAAGGACAUCACCCACAGAAGAAGCACCGGCUAACUCCGUGCCAGCAGCCGCGGUAAUACGGAGGGUGCGAGCGUUAAUCGGAAUUACUGGGCGUAAAGCGCGCGUAGGCGGUCUGAUAAGCCGGUUGUGAAAGCCCCGGGCUCAACCUGGGAACGGCAUCCGGAACUGUCAGGCUAGAGUGAAGGAGAGGAAGGUAGAAUUCCCGGUGUAGCGGUGAAAUGCGUAGAGAUCGGGAGGAAUACCAGUGGCGAAGGCGGCCUUCUGGACUGACACUGACGCUGAGGUGCGAAAGCGUGGGUAGCAAACAGGAUUAGAUACCCCAGUAGUC
rnacentral:rRNA from 1 species